rnacentral:rRNA from 1 species
AUUGAACGCUGGCGGCAUGCUUUACACAUGCAAGUCGGACGAGUGGCGAACGGGUGAGUAAUAUAUCGGAAUGUACCCUGUAAUGGGGGAUAACUAAUCGAAAGUUUAGCUAAUACCGCAUACUAUCCGAGUGGCCGAUGUGUGAUUAGCUGGUUGGUGGGGUAAAGGCUCACCAAGGCGACGAUCAGUAGCGGGUCUGAGAGGAUGAUCCGCCACACUGGGACUGAGACACGGCCCAGACUCCUACGGGAGGCAGCAGUGGGGAAUUUUGGACAAUGGGCGCAAGCCUGAUCCAGCCAUGCCGCGUGUAUGAAGAAGGCCUUCGGGUUGUAAAGGACUUUUAGCGGGGAGGCGGUACCUGAAGAAUAAGCACCGGCUAACUACGUGCCAGCAGCCGCGGUAAGUC